CCUCCCUGCCUUGCAUCGCAUGGCCACCUUACGGCGUGAUGAGCUGGGUCAGGAAACCCUUCUCAACCUGCUACUUCGCAAUUACCUUCAUUAUAACUUGUAUGACCAGGCCGAGAAACUGAGGUCAAAGGCCCCACGUUUCGAAGCACAUUCCAAUCAGCAGGCAAUACUUUUGCUUGUGACUCCAUGAAAUUACCUUUAGACUUCAUUCUCGUUGUGAAACAAAUAUAUAUGCUAACCUUGAGGUUUUUUCUCCUAUAGUUCUGCCGCUACCUGUUCUACUUAGGAAAGAUCAGGACCAUUCAGUUGGAAUGUACUGAUGCCAAAGAAAGCCUUCUGCAAGCUGCUCGAAAAGCUCCUGCUGGAGCAUGGGGUUUUCGAAUCCAAUGCAACAAGUGGGCUGUGAUAGUCCGCUUACUUCUAGGGGAAAUCCCUGAGAAAACUGUUUUUAUGCAGAAAGGCAUGAAGAAGGCUUUGACACCCUAUUUUGAGCUUACAAAUGCUGUGCGAAUUGGAGAUCUGGAGCUGUUUAGGACCGUCGCAGAGAAGUUUGCUGGCACUUUUUUGAAACUCUUGUGCUUUCAGGAAAGCGUUACCUGUUGCCAUAGUGCUUGGAGUUGCAGGGCUAGCUGGCUUGUAUUUCUACCUCAACAAUGCCUACUAGUGUGAGCAAGGAGCAUCAUGAGGCUCCUCUUUUCUUCAUUCUGAAACUGGUCGAGUCAAUAUUAGUAUUCAUAAUGUACUGUCAUCUGUAACAACAGAAUAAGUUAAUGUACUUAUGUUUCCAAUUUCAAGUUGUGAGGUUUCUGUUAAACAA